rnacentral:rRNA from 1 species
GACGAACGCUGGCGGUGUGCUUCACACAUGCAAGUCGAACGGGGUAGCAAUACCUAGUGGCGGACGGGUGAGUAACGCGUGGGAAUCUGCCUUUAGAUGGGGGAUAGCUAGCCGAAAGGCUAAUUAAUACCGCAUAAGCGCAUAGCUCGACAGGGUUAUGCGUAAAAGGAGUAAUCCGUCUAUAGAUGAGCCCGCGUCCGAUUAGCUAGUUGGUAGGGUAAAAGCCUACCAAGGCUACGAUCGGUAGGUGGUCUGAGAGGAUGAUCACCCACAAUGGAACUGAGACACGGUCCAUACUCCUACGGGAGGCAGCAGUGGGGAAUUUUACGCAAUGGGCGAAAGCCUGACGUAGCGACACCGCGUGAGCGACGAAGCCCUUUGGGGUGUAAAGCUCUGUCGGCUGGGACGAAAAAAAUGACGGUACCAGCAAAGGAAGCAUCGGCUAACUACGUGCCAGCAGCCGCGGUAAGACGUAGGAUGCAAGCGUUGUCCGGAUUUAUUGGGCGUAAAGAGUUCGUAGGCGGUUUGUUAAGUCUGAUGUUAAAGAUCAGGGCUCAACCCUGAGAGUGCAUUGGAUACUGGCA